rnacentral:lncRNA from 10 species
CCACCAGCCAGCCUUUUCCUCUUGCAAGUUCCCUCUCUCUCACUAGAGAGAGAGAGCUGUUUUUCUUUCUCUUUCUUUUGUCUAUUAAACCCCUGCUCCUAAACUCGUGUGUGUCCGUGUCCUAAACUCUCCUGGCACCAGAAGAACCCUGAUUAUUUACCCAGACAACUGUAGCUGCUUCAAAGAUGCCUCUCACUCCAGUGGUAAAAUGAAGGCCUGGAUAAGUAAUAAUUUCAGAAGGGGCAAGUUGCAGUGUUACUUCCUUGGCACAUUGAUACAAGUUUCUGAUCCUAGAACAUCCUCUUUCCAUUUAUGAACUACCUACAGAAUCAACUGGGAACAGAGCCACACCCUUUUUUCCCCCAAACACAAAACCUUUGAUUCUUUUCAGAAUAAAAUUUGGCAAAGCAAAGAGUGAAAAAGCUUGAGAAAAGCACAGCCAAUCUAGUUUAAGUGCAAAUAGAAUCAAAAGUUCCUGAUAUAGAAUAAGCAAAUGAUGGAAGAAGCCAAGUUUCCUGAGUGGCCACUAGGAAAACUCUGUCUUCUUUAUCAAAACUAUGAGGUAUGUGUCCUCCAAAUUCUUAUGUUGGAACUUCAGCCCCAAAGUGAUUGUAUUAGAAGGUGAAACAUUUAAGAGAUGAUUAAGUCAUAAGGGCUCUGACCUUCUGAGUGGGAUUAAUGUUCUUAUAAAAGGGCUGGCGAGAACUAGCUAUGCCUUUUUGCCCUUCUGCCAUGUGAGGACACAGCAACAAGGAGCUGUCUAAAAAGCUGAGACGGAGCCUUCACCAGACACUGAAUCUGCCGGCGACUUGAUCUUGGAUUUCCCAGCCUCAAGAACUGUGAAAAUAAACUUCUGUUGCUUAUAAAUUACUCCGUCUGUGGUAUGUUGUUAUAGCAGCAGGGAUGGACUAAGAAACUCUCUCUUUAUAUAAACAAUUACUUGUGGAGAAGUCUGUAUAAUUACAGAGUAAAAUCUUUAAAAUCUCAUGGGUUUAUAAGUAGCCUUACCUGCUGUCUUAAAUUCAAGAUUCCCACAUUUGCACCUCUUUAGUAUAUAGAAUAUAGACUAUAAAAAUAGUCUUGGCUAUCUAAGGCUAGUGGCCAACUGUCUAUUGCAGAGAAAGAGUGAGAAAUUUAAUAUAAAUAUUCAUUCUUACAUAUCCACUUCCUAGGCUAAUUAUCUAUUUAAGAAACUUUGCCUUAUUGCUACACACAUACAUUUAUAAAUAAAAGUACUUCUGCAUUUUUCAAAUAUAAAUUAGUUUUUUAAGACUUGCGUGCAUACCUAAAAGCAUAUGCACCAGAUAUGUCCAUAUAAGCACAAUUCCAAUCAAAGAAAAAGACUGUACUUAAACCAACAGUAAGGCCUUAAAUCAACUAGGAAAUCCAAUUCAAUCAUAUUUCAGGGUUUAUCAUUUCAGUCAUACAAACUUUAUCCUGGACAAAAACUGAUGUGGGAUGUGUGUGUGUGUAGUUCUAAAUAUUGUAAGCAAAUUUAUUUAAAUGAGCUCAUCUGGAAAUACUGAGUUCUAUGUAAUACAUUUCUUUGUAUUGAACACAAUUGAUUUCUGUGUGUCAAAACAAUGAAAGUGGGUCAUUAAAGCAAUUAUUGUUACUGUGUAAUUUUACUACAUAAAUUACCAAAUAAAUAAUAUUAUUGCAGAAAAACACAAGCUUACUAUCUUUUUACUUAUUUUCAAGUGAAAAGAUGGAAGAGCUAUUCCUAUGUCCUGAAAAGUCCAUAUAUUAGUUGAACAUGCUGAUAUCUGAUUCAUGAAAUCUCCAUUGCUUCAGUACCAUAGAUGUGAAAUGAUUUUAAAGCAUAUUCACAUUUGUCAUCCUAUGUUUUUAUAUUUAAUAAUUUUACUCUAAUUUUACAGUUACUGAAACUGUUACAUAGCUGUGCUGUUCUAUAUCUGGACAUGCUGUGUAUAACAGUAUGUUAUUUUUACAGGUACCGGACUUUAUUCUCUAGAUCUUUUCAGGGGCAUGCAUAGCUCUUAAAGCACCCAUGCUCAUAUUCAAAUCUUCUAAUCUUUU